UACGAAGGGGGGCUAGCGUUGCUCGGAAUCACUGGGCGUAAAGGGUGCGUAGGCGGGUCUUUUAAGUCAGGGGGUGAAAUCCUGGAGCUCAACUCCAGAACUGCCUUUGAUACUGAAGAUCUUGAGUUCGGGAGAGGUGAGUGGAACUGCGAGUGUAGAGGUGAAAUUCGUAGAUAUUCGCAAGAACACCAGUGGCGAAGGCGGCUCACUGGCCCGAUACGUGACG
rnacentral:rRNA from 1 species